rnacentral:rRNA from 1 species
UACGAAGGGGGCUAGCGUUGCUCGGAUUUACUGGGCGUAAAGAGCGCGUAGGCGGACAGUUAAGUUGGGGGUGAAAGCCCGGGGCUCAACCUCGGAAUUGCCUUCAAUACUGGCUGUCUUGAGUGUGAGAGAGGUGUGUGGAACUCCGAGUGUAGAGGUGAAAUUCGUAGAUAUUCGGAAGAACACCAGUGGCGAAGGCGACACACUGGCUCACUACUGACGCUGAGGCGCGAAAGCGUGGGGAGCAAACAGG